UUGUGGCAAAACAACCACGACUAAAAUUGCCUUUGGCAAUUUUUCGCACUUGCAGGGUGUGUCAAGAAAGCACGCUCGAUCAGCUCGAUUACACUGUUUAUUUUUUCAUGUUUUUUUUAAACUGAGGAUUGAAAUCAAGUUUUGGGGAUCUGUGAAGGUCAAAAAGUGAGGCAUUGAAAGCUACACAUAAUGCAGCGGUGUGGGAACUGCGUUCCCUGGCGAUUUGUUCUAAGCCGGCGGAUCCUCGAAAAAUAUAAACAAUUGCUGUUCUUCCUGCCAAAGAGAUAAAUUCCUUUGAAUAGACAGCUUAUCAAAUUAUGAACCGCAUUUCGCAGAACAGUCCAUUUCGUGGGAGGUUUCGAAAGGUUUAAAUAACGCGAAACAUAAACAGCAUUCCAGACCGUUUUAGAGGCGCCUCUCGGUUACACGAUAUAGCGAUUUGUAAACAUUAAACUGCAGCUCGAAAACGGAAACGAACCUUAUCAGUUUGAAUUUGCGCAUUUGGCUCGAUUAUGCUGACGCAGAGUUGAAAAGCUUGGCAUAGUUUUUAGAACAGGUUUCAAACUGCAAGUUUAGAUUGAAAAUCUUUUGUAGCAAGACUUAAUUUUUGCUUUAAAGAUGGUCAAAUUACGGAACAUAAAAUCAUUUUCGUUUGAAAGUAACGAUUAAAUGAGUCAUCACCAGGUUAUCUUCUACAUUGUUGCAUAUUUUUUUAUAUUUUUUUUUUAUCAAACUUGCAACAAGUAAUACAGUGCCGUUGGUCGCAGCAAGCUGGGCACUUUGGUCACGCUGAACUAACGUACGGGACAGAUUACCGGACAAGUUCGUUUAAAUAGAACAGUAUUAGGAUGUGAUCGAUUUCGAAAAUCGUUUUCUGGGUUUAAUUCCUCUUUUCUAAAAAUUGUUUCGUUUUUAGAUUUAAUUUUGAAAAGUUAUUGUUAAUUUCUUUUACAUCAGUGAGCAUUGAUUAAAUCACUUUUUGUUUGAAUAAACACAACUUAGAAGUGCAAUUUUAACCGGAACCAAAAAUAAUCUCCAGCUGAUAAGAUUAUAGAUAAUCAGGUGUGAGUUGAAUUCACACAAAGCAAAAUGUCAAUGAAUCAGUCAAAAUUCAACUUUUGGUGCACUCCGAGCCUGUAAAAUCACCCAAUUUGUUUGCUGCCAAGUUCGAUGGGACAAUCGUCUCGGAAAGCUCAGCGUGCUGCCGACAUCAGAUUCGGAGUUUCGCUCAACAAUGCCCGACGAAGUGGGUGCGGAAGUUGCCUGUCACUCUUCCUAAUUAUGGUGAUCGUCGCCGCAGUAGGCUGGGCGGCCUGGGGAAUUUUCGUUUUGGGGAUGAUACACAGUAUACAUGCCGGAUUGAUGGAGUCGAUUGGGACCGUUCGCAACCGACUACAGGAGAUCAAGUUUGGUGCCAAGAUUUCUGCUCUGGCCACGAUUGCUGAACCGGCCGCCAUUGCUGAGUGGAUUUGGUGCACGGCUGGCUAUUGCCUGGACUGGAUCCCUAAUUUUGCGAUUGCUUCGAUGGCUGUUUUUGAGAGGAUAACUCAAAAUUUUGGUGACAAAAUUGUUCAGCUGUUCGAAAGUUUUCAGAAGUGAAAAAGUUUUCAUAAUUCAGAACAUCCAAAUAAAUUUGAACUGAAAAUUAUUUUAAAAUGGUCCAAAUAAAUAUUGAUGAGAACUCUGGAACUAUAUAUCUACUAUAUAUGUCAUAUAUGACAAAUUCUAAGAUAUAAUGGAUUUUGUAUCUGCUCUCCACAUAAACCAAUUGCUCUCUGCUCCAACAGUCUCAGACAAACAGACGUAUACCAACAUUCCCUCCAAACUAGCCAUGAUAGUGUUCGUAAAUACAGGGAUCGAGCAACUGUCAAACGCGUGUAAAUUAGACGUGGUGAGUUCAAAACUGCCGUAGUGAAUUUCACGUCAUUCAAAUGACCGUUACGUUGCUUAUUGAUGAAUUGAAAGAUUUUUGUCUGUUUGUCUAUGAUAACACAAAUAUCUAGAAAGUUUACUUGAGCGCGAGGUUUCCUACCAGCAGCGGAUCGAUUGGCAUUUCAUUCUACAAGCGAAAGUUAUCGAGCAAAGUUAUCAGAGUAAAAGAAAACCCUUUUUUUGAUUCACAAUGGACAAGAAGGAGCAGCGAGCGGCCAACAUCAAGGAGUCUAUACAGAAUUAUGGGAACCCGAAGGAUAAAGACGUUCGCGCUGAAGCCGUGAAGCAGGGAGCCCAGCAGACGAACGCGCAGCAAGGAAAAAGAUGAGUUUGUUUCAUCAUGCAUCAAGAAAUCGUUGGAGGUUGAAAUUUAGCUAAGCAUGAAGUUCAACUGUGUAUCUUUGAAUAAAGUGCAUCGCGAUUCUUAACUAAAAA